GAUGAACGCUGGCGGCGUGCCUAAUACAUGCAAGUCGAGCGAACGGACGAGAAGCUUGCUUCUCUGAUGUUAGCGGCGGACGGGUGAGUAACACGUGGAUAACCUACCUAUAAGACUGGGAUAACUUCGGGAAACCGGAGCUAAUACCGGAUAAUAUUUUGAACCCCAUGGUUCAAAAGUGAAAGACGGUCUUGCUGUCACUUAUAGAUGGAUCCGCGCUGCAUUAGCUAGUUGGUAAGGUAACGGCUUACCAAGGCAACGAUGCAUAGCCGACCUGAGAGGGUGAUCGGCCACACUGGAACUGAGACACGGUCCAGACUCCUACGGGAGGCAGCAGUAGGGAAUCUUCCGCAAUGGGCGAAAGCCUGACGGAGCAACGCCGCGUGAGUGAUGAAGGUCUUCGGAUCGUAAAACUCUGUUAUUAGGGAAGAACAUAUGUGUAAGUAACUGUGCACAUCUUGACGGUACCUAAUCAGAAAGCCACGGCUAACUACGUG
rnacentral:rRNA from 1 species